GACGAACGCUGGCGGCGUGCUUAACACAUGCAAGUCGAACGGAAAGGCCCUGCUUUUGUGGGGUGCUCGAGUGGCGAACGGGUGAGUAACACGUGAGUAACCUGCCCUUGACUUUGGGAUAACUUCAGGAAACUGGGGCUAAUACCGGAUAGGAGCGCCUGCUGCAUGGUGGGGGUUGGAAAGUUUCGGCGGUUGGGGAUGGACUCGCGGCUUAUCAGCUUGUUGGUGGGGUAGUGGCUUACCAAGGCUUUGACGGGUAGCCGGCCUGAGAGGGUGACCGGCCACACUGGGACUGAGAUACGGCACAGACUCCUACGGGAGGCAGCAGUGGGGAAUAUUGCACAAUGGGCGGAAGCCUGAUGAAGCAACGCCGCGUGCGGGAUGACGGCCUUCGGGUUGUAAAACGCUUUCGCCUGUGACGAAGCGUGAGUGACGGUAAUGGGUAAAGAAGCACCGGCUAACUACGUG
rnacentral:rRNA from 1 species